rnacentral:piRNA from 1 species
UGAAUACCUCUGAAGAACGGUGUCUUAGA